AGCUCUUGACAUGUCUCGUAUGGAGGCCGGAGACGGUUUCCUUCAGUUCGGCUGGCGAGAACACAGGUGCUGCAUGGCUGUCGUCAGCUCGUGUCGUGAGAUGUUGGGUUAAGUCCCGCAACGAGCGCAACCCUCGCCCUUAGUUGCCAUCAUUCAGUUGGGCACUCUAGGGGGACUGCCGGUGAUAAGCCGAGAGGAAGGUGGGGAUGACGUCAAGUCCUCAUGGCCCUUACGGGCUGGGCUACACACGUGCUACAAUGGCGGUGACAAUGGGAUGCUGAGGGGCGACCCCGAGCAAAUCUCAAAAAGCCGUCUCAGUUCGGAUUGCACUCUGCAACUCGAGUGCAUGAAGGUGGAAUCGCUAGUAAUCGUAGAUCAGAACGCUACGGUGAAUACGUUCCCGGGCC
rnacentral:rRNA from 1 species